rnacentral:tRNA from 1 species
GGCUUUAUGCUCAGUUGGUAGAGCAUGGUGUUUGCAACGCCAGGGUUGUGGGUUCGAUUCCCACGGGGGGCCA